rnacentral:rRNA from 1 species
UACGUAGGUGGCGAGCGUUGUCCGGAUUUAUUGGGCGUAAAGCGCGCGCAGGCGGUCGCGUAAGUCUGCUGUGAAAUCUCCCUGGCUCAACCGGGAGGGGGCGGCGGAGACUGCGGGACUGGAGGGACCUAGAGGCCGGUGGAAUUCCCGGUGUAGUGGUGAAAUGCGCAGAUAUCAGGAGGAACACCGGUGGCGAAGGCGGGUCUCUGGGCAGUAACUGACGCUGAGGAGCGAAAGCGUGGGGAGCGAACAGG